GACUACACGACGCUAUGUCCAACACGGUCCAACAUGUAACUGUUCUUCGUAACCACCGCUGCGAGAACCUCAAAUUCAACAUAAUUACACUGAUUGUCAGCAGUAAGCUUCUGCUCUGUGGCUACCAUCAAUUUCUCUUCAGUCGACCGAUCACAGCCAUUGUAGCUAUGCUGAUGUCAUGAAGCAGCAGCUGCCGUAACUCUCCAGUAAAACGGCGCUGAGACAACAGACUCUGCCAGUGCACGUGCCAUAGGCUGCGGGUGCUACCGGCACACGCACCACCGCAUCACUGGUCAGCCAGACCCGCCAAACAGCAGUCAAGAUCAUCAAGAAGACCUGGGCUGCUACAAAGCAGCAAACUCUACUAGCGCACUCACAGUUGAACAAACGGCCCCUUUCAGGCCCAGCAAACUCUGGUUGAACAAACACCCCUUUUCAGGGCCAGCAAUCUUGUGAACAAGAGAUAUAUAUCGAAACGGCUUCCCAGCCAUCCUUUACAUUUGUAAAUAAUAUAUGCACCUAUGUAUGGGUAAGAUGUUUACCAUCCCAUGAAUAUUUCCAAAUAAAAAUCAGAUCAGUGGAUAGCAUACUGUAACUCAAUUGUGUAAGAAGAUUUACAAGGAGAGUAGAUGUGGGCUACAAAAUUUAUAUGGACAGUUAUUUCUUUUCUUUAGACACACAUGAUGACCAUCGCACAAGAGCUCCCAAUUUUUGUGAAACUGUUGGCCUAAACUAUGAAAAAUGCUAGAGAGACAUGACAGUAAACACUGAAAUUUUCUUUUGAUGACCAUGCUAGGAAUGGCUGUUUGCCAUUCAUUUAGUUGGAGAACAUGGAAGUACACAAAACAUUAUUUUCACACCUGCUGGAUAUGAAUAUAUUGAAUAGCUAUGCCUCCAAACAUUGUGGUUAUACCAGCUGUUGGAGUUUCAGUAUUAAUAAGCAGCAGGCAUUGAAAACACACUUCGGAAAGAUGGCAUCACAUAAUUCUUAAAAAUAGUUGUAUUCCCCCCCCCCUUUGGAAAAUACACAGCCUGUUACAAUACUGCACAGUGAUUUAUAUGAAUGGUUUAGAUCUCUUCUGAGAAUUGAUGUAAAAAUAUUAUUUAACCCAUACACAUCAUUAUACACUGGCAUUUGCUACACAUUUCAUCAAAAACUACCAUCACCAAUACUGUAGCUUUAAGUAUUUGUGUUAGUGGUCCUAUAACUUUCUUUAUAUGUAUACAUCUUAUUAUAAAGCCAGUAGAAUUCACUGUAUGGAUUUGCAUUAUUUAAAGAUUGUUAAAACACUUUACUAAACAUUUUGUUGAAAUAAUUGUAAAACACUUUACUAAACAUUUUGUUGAAAUAAUUGCUGUUCUGAGAAUCUAAGUGCAAGCGUAUCAUAGGUUCAGUAGUCUGUCUUGGGCCUGAUUUGUAUUAAUGUUGUUUUAAGUGCUUCUUAAAAAAGAUAUCAUUUUGAGAGAAUUAUAAGAGAGAUUUUCUAAACGUGGGGCCGAAGCUCCUAUAAAAGUUUAAAUGACAAAUCUAGAGAUCAUUGUGUAGAUGUUCUUAUGUCACUUUUACCAUUAAGUGUAUACAAAAAAUUCAGUAUAUAGAAUUUAUCUAGUUUUAAUACUGUUUAUAUUUUUAUAAGUUAAAAUUCUUGUACAUAAUUCUCAUGACUAAAUGCUAACAAGACAUUGUUAUUUGAAUUAUUGUAAUAUACACACUUACAUGAUGGCUACAAAGCAAGAGUUAGUAAAUACAAGGAUGAUGAAAAUGGACAGAUGAUUAAUAACAUUUCAGUGAUAAUAAAUGGUUUAGUAACAUCUAAUAACAAUAAAGUUCUAAACAGUAACAUCCUACAUUCAUAUGAUGAAACCGUUGAGGCUAAUGCAAGGAUUGAGAAAGAGAAAGUUGCUGAUUCAGCAGCAAGUGCUUCAAAGAACAAAGGAAACCACACUAUGUUAAUUAUUGGAGACAGCCAUGUAAGGAGAUGUGCAAGUAAAUUGAGAGAAAAUCUUGAUAAAACUUAUAAGGUAAUUGGAAUUAUAAAACCAGGAGCUGAUUUAUUUACCCUAAGUAAUUCUGUAAAACAUACUAUUUUAACCUUAGGAAAAAAUGAUGCUCUUGUAUUUAGUUGAGGUGCAAACAAUAUCGCAAAAAAUAAUUCAAAAAUGGGACUAAGACACAUUUUAAACUUUGUAAGUAAUAAUACUCAUACUAAUAUUAUUCUAUUAGGUAUAUCACAUAGACAUGACCUGGCAGAUUGGUCUUGUAUAAAUAAUGAGAUAAAUGCCUUUAAUAGGAAACUGUUUAAAAUCAUGAAAUGUCAUGAACAGGUCACAGUAAUGAACUGUGACUUAAACAGACACUUCUUUACAAGACAAGGUAUGCAUCUGAACAGGAGAGGAAAAGAAGAAAUACUUAAACAUAUGGCAGCAACCUGUGUGACAAUUUCUCAAUCUAAUAAAAAUUUGACCCCAAUUUGCUUGCUCUGGAAAGAAUCUGAAAAUUAUAAUGCAAAUCUACAAGCUAACAAGUGUACAGCUAUGAAUGACUCAGUAAAAACAACUACAGAGCAAAAAAAAAUGAACCAGUACGCAAAUCAAAUAGACUCAAAAAACUACCAGGUAUGUAAAAUAAGGAUUUUUUAUGGUAAAUAAGAGUACUCCAAAAAGAAAUAUUUCCUUAAACAGAGUAACCAAAAAACAAAAUGAUAUCAAAUUCUUUAAUAUUUUCCAUCAGAACAUUAGGGGUUUAAGGGGGAAAGCAAAUGAGCUAUUAAAUCAUCUACACCCAGCCUCCCCCCACAUAUUAUGUUUUACAGAACAUCACAUGAAUUUCUUGGAAUUACAACAGUUAUAUUCGUAUAAACUAGGAACAAACUA